rnacentral:tRNA from 1 species
GCGGGAUUAGUUUAGUGGUAGAACUGCAGUUUUCCAAACUGCUGGCAAGAGUUCGAUUCUCUUAUCCCGCA